rnacentral:rRNA from 1 species
AUGCCCAAACCAAGCAAUAUACCAUCAUAUAUCACUUUGCAAAUUGGUCAAACCUCUCCAAAGGAAUCCUCAGCAAUGCAAGAUUCUAAUCAAAAAAUACUAGACAAAUGUGUGGAAAUGAUUCUUGGUAUGACACUGAAUCCAGCACCUACCAAUGAUAACAACGAAUCACUAAGUCUUGCUAUCAAUGAAGUGCUCAGUGAAAACUUAGAACAAACUCUUGCAUUAGCAGAAAUACAGACUCAGUGCACUGCAGGAGACAUAGAAUCAUCAUCUUGUCAGUAUACACAAGAAGAGGUUGCAAACGUUGCCCAAAUGGAUACAACUAGGAAAAAACAAGAUGAAUCCCGAGACCAUCCUUCAGACAAUUCCGUUGCAGAAGUAAGUUCUAAGCGCACCGAAGAUGAUGAUAUCUCUAAAGUGGGCAAGGAAGAUUCAGACUCUCAUACUUCUCAUUUAACUCAUAGUAAGUUAAUAAAACAAGUAAAUGCAUUUAUAUUUUACAUGAAUUACUAUAGAAUUAAUGAUCUGACUUAUAAAUAUUGA